UGGGGAAUAUUGGGCAAUGGGGGCAACCCUGACCCAGCCAUGCCGCGUGAGUGAUGAAGGCCUUCGGGUCGUAAAGCUCUGUGGGGAGGGAAGAAGUGAUGGCGCGUGAAUAAUGCGUUGUUGUGACGGUACCUCCUUAGCAAGCACCGGCUAACUCUGUGCCAGCAGCCGCGGUAAUACAGAGGGUGCAAACGUUGCUCGGAAUUAUUGGGCGUAAAGCGCACGUAGGCGGUACAGUAAGUCUGAUGUGAAAGCCCCAGGCUCAACCUGGGAAGUGCAUUGGAUACUGCUGAACUUGAAUCUGGAAGAGGGUCGCGGAAUUCCCGGUGUAGAGGUGAAAUUCGUAGAUAUCGGGAGGAACACCAGUGGCGAAGGCGGCGACCUGGGCCAAGAUUGACGCUGAGGUGCGAAAGCGUGGGGAGCAAACAG
rnacentral:rRNA from 1 species